AGUAGUUUGAGCUCUGAGCUUUCCAACUCCUCCAGUUCUCCUUAUUUCAAGUAUUUGAAUCCUAAAAUGUGAAGUUCUCGUGUCUUUUUGGGACAUACUGCUCCUUUAAUGUCUUAAAUUCACUCUUUUUGUGGACAGGAUUCGUCAAAAGGAUUUGCUCAGACGAGGAGCAAAGGUGAAGAGACAGAAGACGGAGAAGAUGAAGACAAAGGAGAGGAAGACGAAGGAGAGGAAGACGAAGGAGAGGAAGAGGAGGACAAUGUUGACGAAGAAGAGGACAAUGACACGUCAGCCGAGACGGGGGGACGGUCCUCCAGUUUGGACGACUGGACAGAGAAGCAGACGGAGGAGACUGCUAAGCCCGAAGAGCUGAAAGACGCGUCCGUCCCCGAUGGAGAGCAGAAGGCAGCUGAAAUCAGCGAGAAGGCCGACUCCGCAGGGGGGGACGAGACAGAGGACGGCACCAAACCGGCCAAUGGGACGGCAGACAGCAACUCCAACAGCCAAUCAGGCGCCAACAAAAAGUUGUCUCUCUUCAGACGGCUGUCCUUCUCUAGGACCAAGCAGACCAGGGACAGGGACCAAACCCCAGCGCGGGGAGCCGUGAGCGGGGACGCAGCCGUCCUCCGAGGGGACGGAGAGCCCCUGUCCUCC